GGAUAACAGGCUAGUCUCCCCCAAGAGUUCACAUCGACGGGGAGGCUCGGCACCUCGAUGUCGGCUCGUCGCAUCCUGGGGGUGAAGAAGCUCCCAAGGGUUGGGCUGUUCGCCCAUUAAAGCGGCACGCGAGCUGGGUUCAGACCGGCGUAAGCCAGGUCGGUCUCCUAUCCACUGCGGUCGUGGAAACUUGAGGAGGCCCUUCCCUAGUACGAGAGGACCGGGAAGGACGGAGCUCUAGUGUACCAGUUGUCCCACCAGGGGCACCGCUGGGUAGCUACCUCCGGUUUGGAUAAGCGCUGAAAGCAUAUAAGCGCGAAGCCGUCUCCAAGAUUAGGUUUCAUAGGCUGGUGAGAGACGAUCACCUUGAUAGGCCCUAGGUGUAAGUCCGGCAACGGAUUGAGCCGAGGGGUACUAAAAUGCCGUUAGAUUUUCC
rnacentral:rRNA from 1 species